rnacentral:rRNA from 1 species
AUUAUUUGGGGGCACCCUGCUCCGCAACUGCUUGCGUGAGUGAAGAAGGCCUUCGGGUUGUAAAGCUCUUUUGUCAGGGAAGAAACACCGGCUCUAACACAGUCCGGGAAUGACGGUACCUGAAGAAUAAGCACCGGCUAACUACGUGCCAGCAGCCGCGGUAAUACGUAGGGUGCAAGCGUUAAUCGGAAUUACUGGGCGUAAAGCGUGCGCAGGCGGUUAUACAAGACAGGCGUGAAAUCCCCGGGCUUAACCUGGGAAUGGCGCCUGUGACUGUAUAGCUAGAGUGUGUCAGAGGGGGGUAGAAUUCCACGUGUAGCAGUGAAAUGCGUAGACAUGUGGAGGAAUACCAAUGGCGAAGGCAGCCCCCUGGGAUAACACUGACGCUCAUGCACGAAA